ACUGAGUGUCUGACACAUGUACAGAGCCCACAAGCUGCCAUGAGCUAUUUCUACAUGUAACUAGGUGACUACGCCUUGCAGCUUCCCCUACGUUAUAGGCUUUUUAACUUCAUUAUGUGAUCAGGCAUGUUGCCAACUUUGAAGGCCAUUCCACACAUCUGAGUGAUCUGGCUUGCCGUCCAGGUGAUUUAAAGUGCCAAUCUUGAUAAAGGUCCGCAUAAGGACCGAAACGUCGAUGAAAUACGGCAUCAACAGUGAACCCGAAUA